rnacentral:rRNA from 1 species
GAUUGCAGGCUGNAACCCGCCUGCAUGAAGUCGGAAUUGCUAGUAAUCGCGGAUCAGCAUGCCGCGGUGAAUACGUUCCCGGGCCUUGUANACACCGCCCGUCACACCAUGGGAGCCGGUAAUACCCGAAGUCAGUAGUCCAACCUCGUGAGGACGCUGCCGAAGGUAGGAUUGGCGACUGGGGGUGAAGUCGUAACAAGGUAAC